AUUCGGCCACUGAAUCAGGCCAAAUCUCCUCCGAAUUGAAUCAGCACCUGAAGCUUCGCACAGCCCUAAUGAACAGUUGUUCACCGAGCUCUUGAUGUACUCCCCUGAGGUAGCAAUAAGCAACCACCAAGUCCCCUCUUAGCCUUCUCUUCUUUAGGCUGAAGAGGCCCAAGUCCCUCAGCCUAUCCUCGUUUGGCUGGCCUUGCAAGUCUCUGAUAUAUGGGUGGCUCUUCUCUGGACCCUCUCAAGUUUUUCCACAUCCUUGUUGAAGUGUGGUGCCCAGAACUGAACACAGUAUUCUAGCUGUGGUCUCACUGGUGCUGAGUACAGUGGAAGAAUCGCUUCCUUGGUUUUACAUAAGAUGCAUUCGUUGAUACAUGCCAGAGUGUUGAUACACAUUUUCAGCUAAUACACUAAUAUUUUAAUGUGUUUAAUAGUAGCUCAGUAUUAAUUACCUAUCUAAACAGUUGUCUGAUUCCUCCCUAGUUUGAGAUGCUUUGUGCAGCUGUGAUGGUGACAGGCAGUUGUGGCACAUCAUUCCCUAAGGCAGCAAUGGCCAACCUUCAACACGUGCUGCAAGCAGCACAGGGAGCCUCUGUGCAUGACAUGCAGCAGAUUGGGUGGGAGCAGAAAGCAGAGCAGCAGACUAGGUAGGAGAAGGAGACUUGAGUAGCACUCAGGAUAGGCAUAGGGCUUAGUUUGUAAGAUGUCUGCUAAAAUGGUUGGACCACACAGCCCUAAGGGACUUCCAGUGUAAGCAAAACGCACACAAACUUGCAUGCAGCUGUGUCUUAAAGACAAGUGUUCUGGUGAAUGGGUUGUACCACUGAAGUGACCUGAAUCCCAGCUAUCCUAAUAAUACUUUAAUGUGUGGCGCUGUUAAAGUGCUCCUUGCAUGGUAAUGGCUUAUGCCUCGUCAAUUUUGUUGCUACAGCAUUUUAGAAAUAAUGAAGGUAAGUAAAUACUUAGCGCUGCAAGAGGACAUAAUUUAGUUACAGAUCUCACUAUGAAUCUGUGGCAGUCAGGAUUAGAAUGCAGUUCUCCCAACUCACGUUUUCAGCAGGAGCAUUGGCACACCCCAGUCAAAAUCCCCAACCUUGGCCACAGCUCACACCCAGUGGCUCUGAGGAAGUGGAACCCUGAGGUGUGUAGCUGCUGGAAGGGGAAAAAAAUCCUUUCCAGCCCAUAUGACUACCAGCAAAGCCCAGAAGCAUGCAAAAUACCUAUAGUAUAGCAUAGACUGAGCUACUCUUAAAUCAUCCCUGACCAAUUCUUAUCCAAACACUUCUUGAAUACCUUCAGUGAUAGAGAGUCCACAAAUUACCAGAUCAGUCUAUUCCACUGCCUUUCUGUUCUAAUAGUGAAAAAGUUUUUACUGAUACCCAGCCUAAACCCAUUUUCCUACAACUUCAAGCCAUUGGUCUGUGCCCUGGUCUGCAGCAGGAGAGAAAAGGAAUUCUCCCUCUUCUUUGUGGCAGCCCUUCAGAUAUUUGAAGGUUGCCAUCGUGUCCCCUCUUAAGCACCUUUUGUGCAAGUUGAACAUGGCUGUCUCUCUACCUCUCUUCAUGGCUUGUUUUUCAAAUCUUUUAUCACUUUUUUUUGCUUUCCUCUGCUUCUCACUUCUCUGGCAUCUCCAUGUCCUUUCUAGAAUGUGGAUUUGCUUCAUACACAUCUCUAGGAGAAGCCUAACCAGUGUCAAGUAAAGAGGCAAUGUCACUUUGCCUGUCUUGUACCUAAUGCUCCUAUUGAUGCAACCCAAAACCACAUCUGCCUUUUGUGCAGCUGUGUCACAGUAGAUGCGUGUUGAGUCUGAUCCACCAAGACUCCUAGCUCCCUCAUAGUGCUGCCGUCCAGCCAGUGGUCACCCACUUUGUGUUUUUGAUUAUUCUUCCUGAAGUAUACCACUUUGCAUUUGUCUUCCUGAGGUGUAGCACCUUGCAUAAGAACUUAAUUUAAAGCUCUCCUUCCUAGGUUGUUCUUUCAAAGAUGGUCUUUACAGGUCUGGCCAGAUGGAUCGUGUCACUUGAUAGCAGGCCUUCACCCCAGAACAUCUGCCUGUUUUUCAAAGAAUUCAAGCCCUUCACAUUUAUGCCACCAUCUCAGCCACAUGUUUACUUCCAUGAUACGGUGGUCCCUGCCUGGGCCCUUAGCUUCCACUUGGAGAAUUGCUAAGAGCAACAGUUGUGCUCCAAGCUCCUUAAUCCUCCUGCCAAGAGCCUCAUAGUCACCUCUGAUUUGCUCAGUGUAAUUUCUGGCAGUAUCAUUGGUCCCUGCAUAGGCAAGAAGGAAAAGGUAAUGGUCUGAGGGAUAAAUGAGCUUAGGCAAUUUUUCUGCAAUAUCCUAAAUAUGGGCUCAAGGCAGACACUGCACCUCCUGAAACCCCAAAUCCAGAUAACAAAUUGGUGCCUCUAUUACCCACAGAAGGGAGUCUCCAACCACUACUACUACUCCUCUUCCUUUUUGGUAUAGUCGUCUUAGAGCCACAAUCCCUGGGGCCCUGAAUUUCCUGCUGUACCGCUGGGUCCUCUGGGUCCCACUGCUGAUGUCCUCACCUCUGCCUUUUUCCCACCUGUUCUACUGCAGGGUGCUUGAAAGCAGUUGCUGACUUAAAUCUGCAUCUCUUGAAUUCUGGGGACCCUUCUAGUAGUGAUAUGUUGCCACUUCUCUUUUCCCCUUGGUCUCUUCUGUGUGCUUCUUAUGACUUCUAUCCAAGAAGUCUUCAUUUUCCCUGAUAGCAUGAAGUGUAUAGAUCCCUGAGGUUUCAACCCUUCAGUCUUUUCCUCCAAGGUGGACAUCAGCUUACACUUGGUACAGAUUAAAUGAUCUUGACCCUCUGGGAGGAACAUGAAUGUGACACGUCCCAUGCAAGUAACUACAGCUAAUCCAGUUUCUAUUUAUGCCUCCUAUCCUUCCUGGAGGAUACCUAGGCUAUAGGAAACAAAGCAAAGUGGGGGGAAGAAAAAAAACACACCCACCCAUGUGUGCAUGCAUGUGUUGCUUGCUCUCUGUCUGGCAGUCUCUCUCUCUCUCUCUCUCAGCCACCUAUUCCCUGGCUCCCUCCUGUGACAAAUUCCGAGACAAACUCCCUCUCUGCACUUCUCCUCUGGCUUUAUAGAUAUCAGUGGUAUCGUUUUUCCACCUUAAUGUUGCUAGCUUGACUGAGAGCUCUUUCAAGUCAUGUUCACGAGCAUACUAGAGGUAGGCAAAGCUAAAUGGAAAUGUAUGAGAUAUGGCCCACAGAGUCCUGUCAUCUGGCCAAUGCAGCUAACAGUGGGGCAAGUAGGGACAAUGUUAAUUGCUGCUGUUGCCACUUGUCUUUCCACCACAUUUUCAACCUGUACACAGCUCCAUGGGCUGAAUGACAUGCCUCUGCACUCCAGAUUAAGCCCACAGACCAGCCCUGCACCACUUCUCUGGCCCACAGGCUGAAAGGAGUCAUGCUAUAUGAGAGAUUGCUUUGAAAUCUUCCUUAAUCUUACAUGGGCUAGAAGCAUGAAUGGCCUGAUCUGAAUCCAAGCUAAAUGUGGUAGGACCUAGAAUCUGGCAAGCCUAUUCUUGCAGCUGCUGCUACCUUAUAGUACAUCUCUUUGAGGGGACAGGGGCACAGCCUUUUUGGUGUCUUGGGCUGGCUCAGGUCACCCAGCUGCCUGUCAGUGAAUAUAGCCAAAUCCUAUUUAAGCUUCACAUACCUAAAUUGCACAUAAGUUGUAUGAGGGGAGGUUACCUUUGGCACUACUGUAUAGUUUGGGGUUCUGUUUUGCCCUGUAAUAGCAUAGGACCACCCUGCAGCUCUGUCUUCAUGGCUAAGUUCUUUAAUCACCAGGCCAUGUACUAAGCAUUGCCUUGAGAGUCCUCCAGCCCCCCCUUUAAAGAUAGCCCACUGUGCUGUCCAGUUUCUGGAUAAUACAUUAAAGAAUAAUGGAAAGUCUUUGCCCCAUUAGGAGCAGGGGCCUAGGCUAAACUGUAGGGCCCUAUCCUUUCCUGGACAAGAGCCAUAGCACUGAAACAUGUCCCCCCCCGCCCAGCUCUCUCCUAUCCCCCUGUUUUGGUGCCCUGUGGGCUAGUGUCAAGAUAGGCUCAUGAAGGGGAAAUAGAAGCAGGUCCCUUGUCAUUCAGGCUACGGAGCGAAAGGCAGUUGGACGUGGUGCUGAGCCUCACUAUCAGGCAGGGAUUAAGCAGCUACAGAAAGAUGGUAUCUUUUACUUCCACAAGCUCAAGAGGCCACUUGGCUUAGGUGGACUUUUUAAGGGACUUAAGCAUAUUAGUUUCUGUUGAUCUGCAACUGCUAGCUGUUGCAUAGAGUAAAUGUGUUUGCACUUCUGCAGAAUUAUGAGUACAGUGCCCAGCCUGCUUGUCACUGAUACUAAGUUGGCACCAAAACCAGCCCCUUCCAGGUGUUUGGAUGAACUUUCAGGCCUCAAAUACCCUUAGGUUGCCAGAGGGGCUUUAAUGCUGCCGGAGGAGGCAGAAGGCAAGAGGUGGAUGCAGCUGCCACUUCUCAUUGCCAAAUUUCUGACCUUAAGGCAGCUCCGUGGGCUGGAUGACAUGCAUGGCUCUGCACUCUGGAUCUAGGCUAUUGACCAACCCCACACUACACAUCUUGCCCCUGGGGCUGGAUGAGUUUGACACCCUGAUCUAGCCAGUGGAGAUAUAGCAGCAUAGCCUUCAGUUCAGGUUGGGUCCUGGGCAUGUAGUCCAGGGGAUAAAAAGACAGCACCUGAAGAGGAGGGGAAUAGACUGAACUUGGUUCUCUGAGAUGGGAUAUUUUGGAUAAAAAGCUAGACUCGCUAAAGCUCUAAGGUAAGAUGAAUAUUAUUUAGACUUUUUGUGUUAAAAAACAUUUUCUUUGUUCAGCUUUGUUUCUGCUGUUGAGAGUAAACUGUUCUCUGUUUUGGAAAAGCUGUUUAGGUCUCCAUAUUGAGCAUGGGUCCCUGUUCCUGAAGUGAAGCCUCCAUAAGAUCCAAACCCAUUCAGACCUGCUGAGCAUUCACAGCUGGUUCACCAUCGCUCCAGCUCAGGUCUGCGACGUCAGGGAUCCACGCCUGCUGCAACAGUGAGUAUUUCUGCUCCUCUGAGCCCAUUAUGGUGAGAAGCCUCUCAGCAUCUGGCUUCUGCCAAUUUCCCCUUCUGGGGCAAGUGACUUCACUGUGUUGCUCACAUUCCCUUGGGGACCAUUUUUCCAGUCCUCCCUGGGUGUUGCUCCGGGUUGCUUUUGAACCAGUGAACACAGGCCAGGUGCCGAAUCGCUGCCGACACACAUUUACAAAGCAUGCCCAGACUGGCACUGGAAGUCCGCCCCGGUCUGCUACCAUGCUCAGCAUCAGCCGUUCCACUCGUCAGUCCCGUGCUGCAGGUAAGUUACCUCUCAUGGCAGUGUCCCUGCCACAAUGGUCUUGGGGCAGUUUUGUUUCUAUGGGAGGAUGACAGAAAUCAACCCUUGAGAAGAGGCUGGCCAGGGAAAAGGGGGCAAUGGACCAAUUCUUAUCAUUGGCUUUACAUUUUCACAAUCUAAAUGAAGUAGGAGCUUUGCAAUAAUUCUAAGCAGGAAAUGGGCAGGUUUGGCUGGAAAAAUAAGAUAAAAACCAGAAGCAGGCAGAGACCCAAACAGCAGCACCAGAAAGAAAAACAAACAGCAGGAAAUUAGAGGCAGGGAGGCUAACCACAGCAUAUGCAGAGCAAGGGGAGGAGGAAGCAAGUGACAAACCUGCCGGGGUGGAUUUCCAGCUGCAAAACACAAUGUUGGAGCCACCGCUCCCCCCCUCAUCUCCCUUCCCAUUUCCCAUCAGUUGUUUGUUGAUCCCCUUGGUCACGGCUUCUCUUCUAAUUCAAUUACAAGCUCUUUGGGGCAGGGACUGUCAUAUUCUGUGUGCUCAGACUUGUAUAAAUGCAGUCGGGUCCCAUGGUCUCAGCACAGUGCCAUUGAAGAAAAACAGUGAAGAAGGUCUCUGCAUAGGUAACCCCUCUGCUAGGAGUGCACUUACGAUGCAUUGCCACUCCCCCUGGGAAUGGCACCCAUGGGUGCUACUCAUGGGAGAUGCAAGCAGUGCCCAGAAGUACCGUAGGAAGGUUGGGGCAGAUGGGUGAAGCUGACAGCAUGUGGGAAACAUUCCUUUGGUGACUGGCUCAGGCUGCAUGGAUUUGAAUGUUUGAUCUCUAGUGCAAAAUGGGCUGGACCUGGGAAACUGGAAGACAGCCAACUAGGAGUUACCACUGCUGAGUUGUUCUAGCAAGGUGGGACAAUGGGGGCCAAGAUGUUAUUUCUUAGUGACCCAAUAGCCUCCAAAAGGAUGGACAAUGGAAACCUCUUAGCAGGGGACCACCUCUGGGCUGAUUUUUCUGGGCCAGAGACCCAAACCAUCUCAAGCGGAAGAUUUCUGAGGAGAGGAGGCAGGAGGGAGCUGGCUUCCCUCAUGGAUGCUGACCAAAACCCAGCGGACUCUCUGGGCUGAUGAGGCCUGAGGGAGGAAUCACAUUUAACUCUUGUUUUUCCACAGUUCUGUAACCAUUGUCCUCUUUUCUCUUAAAAAGCACGUGCAACCAAGCAACUAACAAGUAGUCCUCAGAUUUACGACAGAAUUGGUUCCUGAAAAACGCAUCUCAAGUCAAAACGUUGUAACUCGGAACCAAUUUUCCCAUAGGAAACAAUGUUAUAAAUGGGGGAUUGGUUCCUGAACCAAGGCCUGAUGCCCUGUUUUCACCAAAAAUAACCCAGAGUUUUAUACUCAAUCAAUUAUAGAUGAGUAAUGUAGCUGCAUUAAUGUAUUUAUAUUGUAAAUAGCAAUCAUAUUGAUUUGGAAGGACUUCAAGGUGACUUUGCUGGACUUUUUGAAGGGCUCUUGGUUGGACUUUUUGAAGGGUUCUUGGCUUCAGGUUUUUCUGGAGUCUUGUCUGCUUUCUUAAAGAAAGUGUCCAGGAAAGUUUGGGCAGAUGUUCUCCAGGGAGACGGGCGACGCAACAAACUUGUUUGCUGGUGUGGCAUGGGUCAGAUCAAGCAUCGUAAAGUUGAAACUGAUGUCAGAAAGUUGAAAGAGGGUGUCAAUUUAUAAGUUGUAAGUGCAAACCGUUGUAACUCGAAACCUUGUAAGUCGAGGACUGCCUGUACUUGCAAAGCUGGGGUUCUAUUGGUCACAGGUCUCCAAAGAGCUGCACUGUAAUCCAGGGUGGUCCUGGGUGUGGGCUUGGAGGAAGCCCUGAGAAGUUCAGUACUGGCUGCAGGGCCAUGGAGAGCUGGACUGUGGGGGUCCCACAUGCCAAAGAUGGUGUCAGAUAGAGAUGGAAACAUGCCCAAUAGGCCUGGACCAGAGGCAGUGUGUGCAGUUUAGACCAAGCUGGCUCAAAAGCCCUUGGAAUCCAAAGCCUGGGCUCAAUGGAGCAGACAACUUCUCAUGCCAUUUCCAGUGGAAGGGACAGUGUAAAGGGAUGGGAUGGGCUCACCUGGCUUGCCAUCUGGUUGGGACACUGGACUUAAAACUCUGCGUUGAGGUUAGAACCAUCAAAGAUGCAUUCAUGAGUGGACGGGGAAGGGGAUCACCCAGCCUGCAGCAGGUUCUGGGCUGAGUGCUGCACAAUAGAGCAGAGACUUCUGGGUGGGAACGGCCUUGAUGAUGGUCGGAGAUUACUGUUAUCACUCACUGCACGAAGCACAAGAGAGAGGCAGAGCUGCUAGCAGAGUUCUCAGGUAGGGGAAACCCGAGAUCCUUUUAACAGACAGGGUCACCCACUGACCUCUCCACUCCCAGGGAGCUUAGCCUUCCCCAUGCACAAAACUAAUCAAGGUCUUGAUUGGCUGCCCUGAAUGGGGAGUCACCCUGCAGAGGACACUGGGUGCAAUAUUCCAGACCAGACAGCAGGGUUGGGGAACCCACAGGAGCAAAGUACAGCUCCUAGUACAGACUCCUGGGUGGGGGGAAGCACUACGUUUUCCUUUGUUCUGUCCCCUAUUGCCUCGGCACAACACAGCAGUUGCCCUACCACCCAAAGGGCAGCCCGUUGCCCCACGACCUUCCAUCCUCAGAGUACUUCCUGCCACCUGCUCCAAGGCUCAACCCCAGUCCCCACUGGGCAGGUGCAGAAUGGUGGGCAGAGCACUUCUGACAGUACAAGUCAGAAGCAAAGAGGAAAGUCUGGAAAACGCCUUUAUUUGGAAAUCAAUUUUCAUGCCUGGUCUUCCUUGGGUAGCCCUCCAACACACCCCACACACGCAUGAAACAAGCCCAGCACCAUAUGGGGGGGCUCAUACCUGUCCCUGUAGAACUCCCCACCCAUAACAACUUGCACUCAAUGCACAGGAAUUACCUAUAUCCUACACACCAACUGCUGCAGCUUCCUUAGCCUGACGAAGGGUUUUUGAACCCGAAAGCUUGCUUAAUAACUAUUCUCCAACCAUUUGGGUUGGUCUAAUAAAAGAUAUCAAAUUCA